GUGCCAGCAGCCGCGGUAAAACGUAGGAGGCGAGCGUUAUCCGGAUUCACUGGGCGUAAAGCGCGCGUAGGCGGUUGGGUAAGUCGGACGUGAAAGCCCCUGGCUCAACUGGGGGAGGCCGUUCGAUACUGCCCGGCUUGAGGGUGAGAGAGGAGAGUGGAAUUCCCGGUGUAGCGGUGGAAUGCGUAGAGAUCGGGAGGAACACCAGUGGCGAAGGCGACUCUCUGGCUCACCCCUGACGCUGAGAGCGCGAAAGCGUGGGUAGCAAACGGGAUUAGAUACCCCGGUAGUCCACGCCCUAAACGAUGAGGGCUAGGUGUUGGUGGGAUUUCCCAUCUGUGCCGAAGCUAACGCGUUAAGCCCUCCGCCUGGGGACUACGAACGCAAGUUUAAA
rnacentral:rRNA from 1 species